rnacentral:rRNA from 1 species
UGCGAACGCUGGCGGCAGGCUUAACACAUGCAAGUCGAACGCCCCGCAAGGGGAGUGGCAGACGGGUGAGUAACGCGUGGGAACAUACCCUUUCCUGCGGAAUAGCUCUGGGAAACUGGAAUUAAUACCGCAUACGCCCUACGGGGGAAAGAUUUAUCGGGGAAGGAUUGGCCCGCGUUGGAUUAGCUAGUUGGUGGGGUAAAGGCCUACCAAGGCGACGAUCCAUAGCUGGUCUGAGAGGAUGAUCAGCCACAUUGGGACUGAGACACGGCCCAAACUCCUACGGGAGGCAGCAGUGGGGAAUAUUGGACAAUGGGCGCAAGCCUGAUCCAGCCAUGCCGCGUGAGUGAUGAAGGCCUUAGGGUUGUAAAGCUCUUUCACCGAUGAAGAUAAUGACGGUAGUCGGAGAAGAAGCCCCGGCUAACUUCGUGCCAGCCGCCGCCGUAAUAC